UACGUAGGGUGCGAGCGUUAAUCGGAAUUACUGGGCGUAAAGGGUGCGUAGGCGGUUUGAUAAGUCUGAUGUGAAAUCCCCGGGCUCAACCUGGGAACGGCAUUGGAGACUGUCAAGCUAGAGUGCGUCAGAGGGGGGUAGAAUUCCACGUGUAGCAGUGAAAUGCGUAGAGAUGCGGAGGAACACCGAUGGCGAAGGCAGCCCCCUGGGCUAACACUGACGCUCAGGCACGAAAGCGUGGGGAGCGAACAGG
rnacentral:rRNA from 1 species